rnacentral:rRNA from 1 species
CCCGAUGGAGGGGGAUAACUACUGGAAACGGUAGCUAAUACCGCAUAACGUCUUCGGACCAAAGUGGGGGACCUUCGGGCCUCACACCAUCGGAUGUGCCCAGAUGGGAUUAGCUAGUAGGUGGGGUAAUGGCUCACCUAGGCGACGAUCCCUAGCUGGUCUGAGAGGAUGACCAGCCACACUGGAACUGAGACACGGUCCAGACUCCUACGGGAGGCAGCAGUGGGGAAUAUUGCACAAUGGGCGCAAGCCUGAUGCAGCCAUGCCGCGUGUAUGAAGAAGGCCUUCGGGUUGUAAAGUACUUUCAGCGGGGAGGAAGGCGGUGAAGUUAAUAGCUUCAUCGAUUGACGUUACCCGCAGAAGAAGCACCGGCUAACUCCGUGCCAGCAGCCGCGGUAAU